rnacentral:rRNA from 1 species
ACCCCCCGAAACUAAGCGAGCUACUCUAAAACAGCCCACAGAGCCAACCCAUCCCUGUCACAAAAGGGUGGGAAGAUUUUAAAGUAGAGGUGACACACCAAUCGAGCCUAGAGAUAGCUGGUUAUUCAAAAAACGGAUCUAAGUCCAACUUUAAGCUUUCUACCAGUAGUACAAACAACUCACAAACUUAAAAGCCAUUCAAAUAAGGUACAGCCUAUUUGAACAAGGAGACAACCUAUAACACAGGGUAAUGACCCACACACGUGACUAAGUAGGCCUAAAAGCAGCCAACUUCCAAAAAGCGUCCAAGCUUCACCUCACCUGCUACUAAUUCCUCUAUCAACCCACAACCCACAACCAAUACUGAAUGACUCCAUACUCGUAUGGAAGACAUUAUGCUAGAACUAGUAACAAGAAGCCGAACUCCUCCAAAAUGCAAACAAAGGCCAAAAUGAACCCCCACCGGCACUUACCGCCUUCACACUACAGUAUCAACUACACAAGAAAACCCUACUAAAUAGGGCGUCAACCUUACACAAGA